UCUCCCAUUCAGAUUUGGUUGAAUCUUCUUUCUCUCAAAAAUGGAAAAAGAUACAUACAAAUAGAGAUAUAGCGUGAAUAAUUAGCUUCCGGGAAUUGGUCGUCCCUUUCUUCUCCUUCAAUCUAGCAGAAGCCCAUGAAACCCGUACGAAAACCUUCAUUAAUACCACCUCUUGAAACUCCAAAAGCCCACCAUAGAUUUAGCCAUAAAACCUCUGCUAAACAGUCACAAAAUAGUCUUAAAUUCCACGAAAAAUUACCCAAAAAAUUGCUGAAAAGAACUGGUGUAAAACCUCCCAUAAAAUAACCCCGUUCUCACCAUCAAAACAGCCGCCAACCACCUGCGAAAACCACUCCAGAAUCCAUCGGAACAAUAAUCCAAGACCUAUUGAUUGCAGCUGAUAUCUUAACUCCAACGUCUCCAUCCAUAGCAUCAGUUGGGUUCAAGGUCGUAGUUCGGUUUUGUGAACAAC
rnacentral:lncRNA from 1 species